UGCAUGCCUGUAAUCUCGGAAGGCUGAGGCAGGAGGAUCAUUUGAGCUCACGAGGGCCCAGGAGGUCAAGGCUUCAGUGAGCCAUGAUCAUGCCACUGCACUCCAGUCUGGAUGACAGAGAGAGACCCUGUCUCAAAAAAUAUAUAUUUAAAAAAUAAAAAUAAAAGCUGACCCCAAAGACAAAUAAGAUUCCUCUGGCAUUGUGUAUUGUUGACAGCUCCACACUAGCUCUUAGGAAUUGUAGAUUCCACCUCAGUAUCCAUUUGAUAACCUAAUGUGAAUAUGGGCCUGCUGCUCCAUUUCAGCUCACUCACUCUUUUACCUUGGUCCCUUUGUGAAAACUCAUUUCUCAUCUUCCAUUUGGAGUUUAUACCAUUUGGCCAGGCACAGUGGCUUACACCUGUAAUCCUAGCACUUUGGGAGGCUGAGGCAGGAGGAUUGCUUGAGCCCAGGAGUUCAAAACCAGACUGGGCAACAUAAUGAGACCCCGUCUCUACAAAAAAUUUUAAAAAUUAAUUGGGCAUGGUGACAUACACUUGUGGUCCCAGCUACUCAGAAGGCUGAGGUGGGAGGAUCCCUUGAGCCCAGGAGAUUGAGGCUGCAGUGAGCUAUGAUCACACCACUGCACUUCAGCCUGGAUGACACAGCAAGACCCUGUCUUAAAAAAAAUAAGUCUUAACGCCAUUUUUAUUAAAAGUAUUGUUACAGUUCAAAUACCAAAGCAUUUACUAUUAGAAAGAAACCAAGGGAAAAAACUAGUUACUAUGUCUUAAUUACCAACUACCAUUUUAAGGUAUAAUUUGAAAAUUAAAUUGAUUGAAUAAAUGAAAAAUAAAUCAGUUGUUCAGGAAAUUGCCUUUAUUGUAGGGCAGUGUGAACCGAAUCAGGCUGCAGUGUGAUGCAGAGGUAGUUGGUUGUUUCCACUUUAGUGAGUAAGUGUCAGUUUUUAGAAGGAUGGAUUUUUACCAGAGAACAGGAAAACUGGCCACACCUCCCUCUCCCCAAGGCAAACAUCCACUUUAUAGUUUACCAUCACAUUUUCAUUUAACAAACAUCCAAGUAGCAUUCACAAAGUGUAAAGCCCUGUGGUGGGGAGGGGCACAAAGAUAAACAAGUUCUGUACAGACCCUCACAGAGAGAAAGAAGGGCACCUAAUAAUGGAAGGGAACAAAAGCGGUAAGGAAUAGGGACAAGACACCCAAAUAUGGCAGCUAAAGGUAGAGAGGGGCCUCUGAAACCUUGGGCCCAGCUGGGCCUGGAGGGUGGGGCGAGCUCACCAAGCUCAGGGCAUCAGCUGUGGCUUUGUGGCAGGGCUGGUGGUCACAUACCUUCCCCCAGCAUCUCCAUGGGGAGUGUGGGCCCGUGUGAAUGCAGGAGGUGAGCUCUGCACCAGGGGAGCUCAGGACACAGCCAGGUUGCUCAGGCUCUAGGCCUGGCUUUUCCUGUUUCUUGCAGGUGAGGUUGCCUGACCUCUGUACCUGUUAACUUGUCUUUUAAAAAUGGGAUAGUGGUGUCUACCUCACACAAUGAUGGUAAUUAUGAAGUUCAGACAUGUGCUAAAAUGGUACCUGGCUUGCAAGAGUGCUGUGUGAAUGUGGCCCAUGGCAACCAUCUCAGUUUGCAAGCGUCACAAAGAUAGCUUGUCUCAGCAAAGGAAUAAGGGCUCAGGUGUUUCUCUUUAACUUUAAAAAUUGAGCUAAAAGCCGCCAUUUAACCAUUUUAAAGUGUACAGUUCAGUGGUUUUAGUACAUGUACAGUGUGCAGCCAUCAUCACUAAUUCCAGAAGUUUCCAUUUCUUUUUUCCACUCCAAAAAGAAUCUCCCCACCUGUUAGCAGUCACUUCCAAUUACCCCAUCCCCUAGCAACCAUUCAUCUACUUUCCGUGCCUGUGGGUUUGUUUAUGCUGAACAUUUCACAUAAAUGGAAUCAUACAGCACGUGGCCUUUUGUGUCUAGCUUCUUGCUUAGCAUACUGUUUUGCAGGUUUGUCCAUAUUGUAGCAUGUACUUCAUUCCUUCUUAUGGCCAUCCUAUGGAUAUACCUCAUUUUGCUUAUCAGUUGAUGCACAUUUCAAGGGUUUAUUAUUAUUCUCUGGUCCUCAGGUUCUGUAACUCCAAACCAUGGCACCCUGCCAUAAGGGGGGCAGAACAUACCCAACACCUCUAUCUGGCCACAGCUCACUUUGGUUCUUCCUAACCCUCUGGAGGAGGCAGGGCCUAUUUUUCCGAUGAGAAAACUGAGGCCUAGAGAUAUGGAGACCUGCGGAAGAUCCCACAUUUCACGGGAAAACCGGAGACUUUCUACACUGGAUUCAGGGACCGCUGGGCCGAACAAAGAAAUCCCGCCUUUCACCAAGCCCAGAACUGGGCGCGGCGUGGAUUUGCUCGCUGCCCCUCCCAGAAUUGGACGAAAAUGAGGUGGGGCCAGCAGGCGCUCGGCAGGGCGGGCUCGCUCUUAACACGUGGCAGCGCUCAGCCAAUUGGCGCGGGGCGCCCGUAGCCACGGCAACAGGUUGCUUCUGCAGUCUGAGCUGAGCGCCUUUCGCACGACAUGGAGUUACGGUUUAUCUGAUACCCCGGUACCCCUACGCAAGCAAGCCCACAUCGACACACAUUCACACACGCCCUUCAGCACCCCCUCCCAGCACCACGACCAUGGACGACGACUAUGAAGCGUACCACAGUCUGUUCUUGUCGCUGCUCGGACUCUGCCCGUCUAAGACUCCCAUCAAUGAAAAUGCUCCCGUCUUUGAUCCUGAACUGGUCAUUGCCCACUGCUUCAAGCAGUUCCAGCAGAAGGACUUCCGCCUGCCUCAGACCCGCCGGCGAAUCAUCAUGGUGCCUCGCAAGGAGGAUCAGACACCCAUUAAUCCUGCAUCCCAACCUCAGGCUCCCCCAAAGCCCAUCCCCAGCUUCAAAGCUCUGGAAGCUAGAGAUAUCCAAGAGCAGCCAGAGGACAGGAAGACCUGGCUGAGCCAGAGGUCGAAGCUGCGGCAGGAGCUAGAGUCCUUUGGUGAUGUAAAGAGGUGGCUGGAGAACAAGCCCAGCAUCACGCCUUCAGAGGCCAAGGUCUUACACAUGAUCCACGAGGAGCAGAGUGCCCAGCCAAAUGCCUCCCAGGCAACUAACAGGACCACCAGGAAGAAAGCCCCCAGGCUCUCCCGGCUGUCCCGCCAGAUGGUGCCCCAGCUCCAGCUGCCCGAGCCCCCUGCCCUGUCGGUCAUGUACUCCUACCUGCAUAGCCGCAAGAUCAAGAUCCUGGAGAUAUUUCACAAGGUGGGCCAGGGUGAGAACCAGAGAAUCACCAGGGAGGAGUUCAUCGCGGCUAUAAAGGCAGUCGGAGUCCCUCUGAAGAACCAAGAGGUGGAGGAUAUAGUGAUCUACCUCAGCUCUCUUGGGAAGCACAACACCAUCACCAUGGAUAUCCUGGCCAAUACCUACAAGCAGUGGUCUAUGGCUCAGCAAAGGAGCAGCCUGGCCACUGCAAGGGAGCGUUAUAUCUUGGCCAAGCACAGAGAUUCCCUGAAGGGUCCGCUCAAGAAGCAGGAGGUGGAUUCAGCCCCACAGCUUCCCAAAGUGGACCUACUGACGGUGCCUGCAAUCGACACACAGAUGGAGGCGCGGCCCAUGACCCUGGAGGAGAUGGAGGAAGUGGGCAAGUGGUACUGCGAGCGGCAGCGACAGCACAAGCUCAUGAUCCCCUCCAUCCAGUACACGGAGCAAUGUCACCUGGUGCGCUGUGGGAAUCGGCACUUUGAUGAGCACUGCCUCCCGUCCACCAUCCACGGGGAUAUGAGGGAGCUCAUUGAGUCGGCCCGCAGGCACAACUUUCUGGUCUACCUGCAAUGCUGGAAGCUCUGUGAGUCCUAUGGCCUCCCGCUGACGGAGGACAUCCUCAUGAAAGCCUUGCUGUACCCAGGAGACAAGAUCAUUUUCCAGAUGGACAAAGUGUGCCCCAUCCGGCAGCCGGGAGGCUACUACUCUGACUGGAAGGUCUUUUCUCCGAAUCUGGCUCUGCUCCGGUCCCAGGGCCCUGGCAAGUCUAAGAGGACUGACAAGCUGAGUUUCGGACCCCCUUUCUCCCUGCCUUGGCCUCCUGCUCCAUUGCUAUCCCUUCAGUGUGGGGGCUGGAGGCUGGAGUACCUGGGGCGCCAUGCUGUGCUUGCGUCUGCAUCCUAGGGCAGCAUCCCCCAACCUGACUGCUCACUGCAGACUGGCCAGUCCCGGGUCACCCUUGGCUCAUGUCUCAGGAUCACGGCCUGCUGGCCUCAGCUCCCACACAGCUACCCUCCUGACCCCAGUCCUGCACAAUCAUAAGGUUUCUGGAAAAGAUGAAAAGGAGAGCCUCCUUAGAGAACAGGGCUGGAGCGAGGGCCUUCACAAAUCCCCAGCCAGGUGUCAGGGCCCUGCAGAGAACAGGGGGCAGCCCUUUCUCUGCCCUGCCACCUUGCAGCGGCCACACCCCUUCUCUGGCAAGAGGUGGGCUUGCAGCUCGUAGGAGGAUAAAAGAACAUUUCCCCGGGACCUGCCUCCAGCCCUUUCGAGAGGCCAACCUGAGUCUUCUCUAAGAAAAUGGCCUCCUUUGGUACUCCAAAGCCUGAGCUACCCAGAUUUGAGUCAAGCAGCAGGUGACAACCCGUGGGCAGCAUCCGUGGGUGACUGCAGAGGAACAAGGCAGCAUCCCUGCAGAGGGAGGGGCACGGCAUGGGAGGAGGAGAGCCCAGCUGGCCGGAUACCAUGAGGUGGGAGGGGCCUGGACCUGCCCCUGCUUCCAGACCCCUGCCAGCUGCCCACUGGGUGUGUGGCCAGAAUGCCUGCAGUGGGACACAGCAGGGCCCUGUAGAGAUCAGACAGGCCUCUGGUUAAAUGGACAAGGCACUUCUCUGAGUCUUAGCAUCUUCAUGCGUAAAGGGGCCUAGUAGCUCCUACCAUACACUAUGAGGAUCAGAUGAGAAAGAAUGUCAACAUCUUAGCAGGGACAGCACUCAAUCAAUGAUUGUCGUUGUUUUACCUUGCUCUGGUUGGGGCAUCUUCAAGUGCAGGAGUAGGCCCAGGCCUGCAGAUGGGUCCUGGCCAUGACACGGGCUGUGACUUCCUUCCAGCCCCGGGGUGGGCCAGGAAGUGGCUGGGAACCCAGGAAGGGGAUUUUGGUCCAUGCUUAGGUAGGCCAUAGCUAAUAAAGGAUAAAGAGAGUUCUCUUAGGUCAAGGAGAGACGUUGACUGUAUCUUGCUACUUAUGGUUAUGAAAGAUUCCAAGGCCAGAUGGAGGCUGGGUGGGAAAGAGUGCCGUGAACGAUUAGUGAUGUCUGUCAGGCUCAGGGUUGGAGGGGAAGGGGGUUAGAUUUCACCACCUUCGUCCUCAGGGCUGGGUUAAGCUCUGGAGUAGGGAGUGGGAGCCAGGGACCCCAAAAGGAUUUGGCAGUGACUUACUGAGCCUCCCUCGUAACUACCCUGAGAGGUCUCUAUUCUGGACCAUGAGAAAACCAAGGAUGAGAAAGGGGAAGUGACUUGCCCAGGUCACCUGGCCAGAUUCUGAGGGAAAACGCCAAAGAAAAGCAAGAAAAUGCGCUUUAAGGAGUUUGAGGAAUUUACCAGGAAGCUGAAGGUGAAGAGGUCCAGUGGUCUGCAGCAAACACACCCCAACUCCUUCUGGCCGGGUCAUCUUCUGGAUAAG